rnacentral:rRNA from 1 species
GGAGUUUGGACCGUGUCUCAGUUCCAAUGUGGGGGACCUUCCUCUCAGAACCCCUACUGAUCGUCGGCCAGGUGGGCCGUUACCCCGCCUGCAACCUAAUCAGACGCAUCCCCAUCCCUUACCGAUGAAUCUUUGCUCCUCGUUAGAUGCCCGCAAAGGAGAACAUAGGGCAUUAAUCCGACUUUCGCCGGGCUAUUCCCUAGUAAGGGGAAGGUUGGAUACGCGUUACUCACCCGUGCGCCGGUCGCCAUCAAAGUUUGCAAGCAAACUUCAUGCUGCCCCUCGACUUGCAUGUGUUAAGCCUGUAGCUAGCGUUCAUC